ensembl:piRNA 21ur-129 ncRNA
AAAACGUACGGAAAAAAUUAU